rnacentral:rRNA from 1 species
CCUACGGGAGGCAGCAGUAGGGAAUUUUCCACAAUGGGCGAAAGCCUGAUGGAGCAAUACCGCGUGCAGGAUGAAGGCCUUCGGGUCGUAAACUGCUUUUAUGUGCGAAGAAUUUGACGGUAACACAUGAAUAAGGAUCGGCUAACUACGUGCCAGCAGCCGCGGUCAUACGUAGGAUCCAAGCGUUAUCCGGAAUUACUGGGCGUAAAGAGUUGCGUAGGUGGCAUUAUAAGUGGAGCGUGAAAGCGUGCGGCUCAACCGCAUUAUUGCGUUCCAAACUGUGAAGCUUGAGUAUGGGAGAGGUAGAUGGAAUUUCUAGUGUAGGAGUGAAAUCCGUAGAUAUUAGAAGGAACACCGAUGGCGUAGGCAGUCUACUGGCCCAUUACUGACACUAAGGCACGAAAGCGUGGGGAGCAAACGGGAUUAGAUACCCCGGUAGUCCACGCUGUAAACUAUGGAUGCUAGCUGUGACACACAUCGACCUGUGUCGUAGCGAAGUUAACGCGUUAAGCAUCCCGCCUGGGGGAGUACGGUCGCAGAUAACUACAAGAAGUAGAGCGNGAGAGNGCGAGACGACGACGAGGGAGAGG